GACGAACGCUGGCGGCGUGCUUAACACAUGCAAGUCGAACGGAAAGGCCCUGCUUUUGUGGGGUGCUCGAGUGGCGAACGGGUGAGUAACACGUGAGUAACCUGCCCUUGACUUUGGGAUAACUUCAGGAAACUGGGGCUAAUACCGGAUAGGAGCUCCUGCUGCAUGGUGGGGGUUGGAAAGUUUCGGCGGUUGGGGAUGGACUCGCGGCUUAUCAGCUUGUUGGUGGGGUAGUGGCUUACCAAGGCUUUGACGGGUAGCCGGCCUGAGAGGGUUACCGGCCACAUUGGGACUGAGAUACGGCCCAGACUCCUACGGGAGGCAGAAGUGGGGAAUAUUGCACAAUGGGCGGAAGCCUGAUGCAGCAACGCCGCGUGCGGGAUGACGGCCUUCGGGUUGUAAACCGCUUUCGCCUGUGACGAAGCGUGAGUGACGGUAAUGGGUAAAGAAGCACCGGCUAACUACGUG
rnacentral:rRNA from 1 species